rnacentral:snoRNA from 9 species
GGGUAGUGAUGAAUAAAAUCAUACCAUCAAACUAUGAAAGCUUAAGGAUAAGCUUUUUGAUGUUAACUAUUUUUAUUCUGAGCCC